CCAUUGUUGGCGGGCCCUUGUGGGCUCCCAGCGCAAUCUGUCUGUUUUGGGUGCUCCUCACCCCGUCGGUCUCCGCAGGCAGCGUCGCUGAGGGCUUCCACGUGGCAGCCCGCAGACAGCAGAACUCCAGCCCUUCGGGAGGCCUUUCCCACGCCAGGCCCCGAGCUGACAUUACGUGGUCCACAGCACAGCGAGCACGUAUGUUCUCAUCAGUCACGUGUGUGUGGAAACCGAGUGCAGGCACUUUCUCAAUGGAGGGUUUUUACCUGGACAGACUUGAAACUUGCGGGGAAGACCAGGGCUCUCUGCUGACCUCUGAGCAGAGGGGGCUCGGAAGGACAGCGAAAUGGAAGGCACUUUUGAAGAAUCCCAUCACACACACAAGCUGGAUUGAGCGCAUUAACGUUGCAGCCCUCAGCUGCCCCCAGAUUCCAGGGACAGGGGCAGGGGACAGUCAGGAAAGUUGCUGCCCGCUGUGGCCCCUGGAGGGACAGCCAGGACCCGGUGGAGGCAUCCAGCUCCAGAGCUCACCUGGGACUCUGAUCCUGGGUGGCAGGACUCCAGCCUUCUCCGUCCCUGUCCCUUCCUGGCCUGCUGUCUUGGACAGAGGUGGCAGGGCUGGGCUCCCUCCAGGGGGCAGAAGGACAGGGGGCUCAGCCCGUACCCAGGCGUCGGGGCCCCGGUGGCCUUGGCGGGCUUCUGGAAAUCUCUCCCGGGAGCAGCACUCCUCCUCAC
rnacentral:lncRNA from 1 species